ACGCGUGAGCAACUUGCCCUCAUCAGGGGAAUAAUCGCCGGAAACGGCGUCUAAUGCCCCAUGGCGAUGGAAUCAGGCAUCUGGUUCCAUCUAAAGAUCCGUCGGAUGAGGAUAGGCUCGCGUGACAUUAGCUUGACGGCGGGGUAACGGCCCACCGUGGCGACGAUGUCUAGGGGUUCUGAGAGGAAGGUCCCCCACACUGGAACUGAGACACGGUCCAGACUCCUACGGGAGGCAGCAGUGAGGAAUAUUGGUCAAUGGCCGGAAGGCUGAACCAGCCAUGCCGCGUGAAGGUCAGUGCCCUAUGGGCGUUAAACUUCUUUUGUGCGGGAGCAAUAAGGUCCACGUGUGGACCGACGAGAGUACCGUACGAAUAAGCAUCGGCUAACUCCGUGCCAGCAGCCGCGGUAAUACGGGGGAUGCAAGCGUUAUCCGGAUUUAUUGGGUUUAAAGGGUGCGUAGGCUGUGAGGUAAGUCAGCGGUGAAAUGCCCCCGCUCAACGGGGUGAAGUGCCAUUGAUACUGCCUUGCUGGAAUGCGGAUGCCGUGGGAGGAAUGUGUGGUGUAGCGGUGAAAUGCAUAGAUAUCACACAGAACACCGAUUGCGAAGGCAUCUCACGAAUCCGCGAUUGACGCUGAUGCACGAAAGCGUG
rnacentral:rRNA from 1 species